rnacentral:misc_RNA from 1 species
GUGAAUCAUCGAAUCUUUGAACGCAUAUUGCACUCUCUUCGGAGAGGAUGCCUGUUUGAGGGUCAGCCUAAAAAAAAAAUCGACAUAGACGCUGUUUGGCAGUGACAUUUGUCGGAAAUUGGUUCGUUUUAAGCCUUUUGGUUUUUUUGGGGUUAAAAUUUUCUUUAUGAUUCCACUAACGUUUCUAA